GACGAACGCUGGCGGCGUGCUUAACACAUGCAAGUCGAACGGAGUGGCGAACGGGUGAGUAACACGUGGGUGAUCUGCCUUGCACUUCGGGAUAAGCUUGGGAAACUGGGUCUAAUACCGGCUAUUGCAAGAUGGGCUCGCGGCCUAUCAGCUUGUUGGUGGGGUAAUGGCCUACCAAGGCGUCGACGGGUAGCCGGCCUGAGAGGGUGUACGGCGACAAGGGGACUGAGAGACGGCCCAGACUGGUACGGGAGGCAGCAGUGGGGAAUAUGGCGCAAUGGGCGGAAGCCUGAUGCAGAGACGCCGGGUGGGGGAAGAAGGCCUUCGGGUUGUAAACGCCUUUCGACAGGGACGCGGUACCUGUAGAAGAAGCACCGGCUAACUACGUGCCAGCAGCCGCGGUAAUAC
rnacentral:rRNA from 1 species